GGGACAGUUACCAUAGAAACGCAUCCUCUAUCGUCGGGCCCCGGGCGACAGUUACCAUAGAAACGCAUCCUCUAUCGUCGGGCCCCGGGCGACAGUUACCAUAGAAACACGUCCUCUAUCGUCGGGCCCCGGGCGACAGUUACCAUAAUACAUCGAAACGAAAUCAACCAAAUCGAUCGAAUCAACGAUUUGACUGAUCUGACUAACAGCUAGGAAAGAAGAGGCCAUGCAUCAGUUUAAACACACAGUAGGACAUUAUUGAGUCUGUCAGGGUCAGUGCAUCAGUUUAAACACAGUAGGACAUUAUUGAGUCUGUCAGGGUCAGUGCAUCAGUUUAAACACAGUAGGACAUUAUUGAGUCUGUCAGGGUCAGUGUAUCAGUUUAAACACAGUAGGACAUUAUUGAGUCUGUCAGGGUCAGUGUAUCAGUUUAAACACAGUAGGACAUUAUUGAGUCUGUCAGGGUCAGUGCAUCAGUUUAAACACAGUAGGACAUUAUUGAGUCUGUCAGGGUCAGUGCCUUAUGCUUCUGGCCAGCGGACGUUUCAACAGCAGCGCAAUGUGUGUGUGUCCAUUUGAAAUGACAAGGGGAAUCACAGGACAUGCCAUAAUGUGUGUGUGUGUGUGUGUGCAAGACACUGAGACACAAGUUUUUAAAAAACAACCACCCGUCAGUCAUCUCAAUGUCCCGUUACAGUUUCUUCAUCGCUCAUCAUCCUCAUGUCUCUUUUACAGUAGUUCUCAUUCAUUCAUCAUCCUCAUGUCUCUUUUACAGUAGUUCUCAUUCAUUCAUCAUCCUCAUGUCUCUUUUACAGUAGUUCUCAUUCAUUCAUCAUCCUCAUGUCUCUUUUACAGUAGUUCUCAUUCAUUCAUCAUCCUCAUGUCUCUUUUACAGUAGUUCUCAUUCAUUCA